rnacentral:rRNA from 1 species
GACGAACGCUGGCGGCGUGCUUAACACAUGCAAGUCGAACGGGCCCCUUUGGGGGUUAGUGGCGAACGGGUGAGUAACACGUGGGUGAUCUGCCCUGCACUUUGGGAUAAGCCUGGGAAACUGGGUCUAAUACCGGAUAGGACCCUGGGAUGCAUGUCUUGGGGUGGAAAGCUUUUGCGGUGUGGGAUGGGCCCGCGGCCUAUCAGCUUGUUGGUGGGGUGAUGGCCUACCAAGGCGACGACGGGUAGCCGGCCUGAGAGGGUGUCCGGCUACACUGGGACUGAGAUACGGCCUAGACUUCUACGGGAGGCAGCAGUGGGGAAUAUUGCACAAUGGGCGCAAGCCUGAUGCAGCGACGCCGCGUGGGGGAUGACGGCCUUCGGGUUGUAAACCUCUUUCAAUAGGGACGAAGCGCAAGUGACGGUACCUAUAGAAGAAGCACCGGCCAACUACGUGCCAGCAGCCGCGGUAAAAC